AACAUAGAUCAGGCAAAAAUGAUAAGAAGUAAAAAGUUUUGGGAUGCAGAAAAAAAUGCACCAAUUUUAAACAGAAAUGGGAAUUUCAUUAAUUAUGAUAAUCAUGAAGAAUCGUGUAAACGAGCUGAACAGUUUUGUGAAAUAAUGUCAAAGCAUAUAAAUGAAGACAUAAAAGUUGAGAUAAAAAAAGAGUGCAAUGAUAAAGAAAUUUUAAGAAUAAUUAGGUUAGACGCUGAAAGAACUUUUAGCACAGAAGAAAAUAGAUCUUUACUUAUAGAAGUGUUACAAUCUAUAUAUCCAGUGAUUAAUGAUUAUCACCAAGGUUUAUCAUUUGUUGCUUCCUUUUUGUUACUUUUUUUAAAACCAAAAGAAGUUAUAACAAUAGUUACAGGGCUACAUAAAUACUAUGUACCUGGAUAUUUCAAAGCAAUGCCCAAAGCAUAUGUACGAGACGCUAGAGUUUUUAUGAGUAUAAUACAUAUAUUUUACCCCAACUUAUACAAACAUAUAGAAAAAUUAAUAACACCUGAAGCCUUUGUUUCUAAGUGGUUUAUAGGAUUAAACGUUCAUGUAUUAACUUUUGAGUCUCUUAUGCUAUUUUUCGAACAUUUUUUAAAAGAAGGAACGAUUUUUUUAUUUAAAUAUAGCAUAUCAUUAUGUAAAAAUUUAGAAAAAGAAAUUAUGAAAACUAACGAUGUUUCUAGAAUACUAGCUUUAUUAAGGUUAGAUCAAAAGCUAUUUCCUAAUGAUUAUAAAAAGUCAAAAGAUGAUAAAGUUGGCCAAUUUUUUUUAAAUAUAAUAAACGACGCUUCUAAAGUGGAUAUGGAAAAGGUUAAUUUAAGUGAGCUGAGAGAAAAAGCCAUUAAACAGAUGGAAGUGGAAGAAGAACGAAGAAAGAAAAUUGAAAUGGAACGAUCAUUGUCUGAUGACGAAAUUGUGUUUUCCGACGAGGAGGAAGAAGAAGAAGAAGAAGAAGAAAAAAAAAAAGAAAAAGAAAAAGAAAAAGAGAAAGAAAAAGAAAAAGAUGAUAAAAAAUGUGAUGUUGGUGGUAGUGGUAGUGGUAGUGGUAGUGACAGUGAUAAAAAAAAAAAUGAUGAUACAUAUAUUGAUAAAGAUAAGGAAACAGAAAAAAGAGAAGAUGAUGUGAAAUCAUAUUAGAGAGACAGGAUAGAAAAAAGAGAAUGUGGCUGUUAAGUUAUAAAAAUGGACAAAUAGGAGAAGACAUAUAUGAACACUAGUUAUACAUAAAGAUACGUUAUUAUGAACUAAGAAAAAAAAAAAGCUGAAAAAACAGCUAGUAUAUUAAAUAUUUAAUAGGUUACAUAUAAAAGCCUUUAUAGCUAGGUGUUAUUUUGUUUACAUGUUAGGCUGGCUGUAUAUAUAUACGAUUCAUUUAUCUAUACAGCUACCUAUCCAUUUACUCAUUUUUAAAUGCUUAUGCACUUAUUUGUUUUUUUUUUUUUAUUUUAUUUUAUUUUUUUUAUUCAUACAUAAGAAAGAUAAAUAUAUAAAAAUAUGACCUAUUUCAAUUUACUAUAUAAAAAAUAUAUUUUAUAAUACUUUUUUUAUAAAAACAAAAAUAUUUUUAAAAUUUUGUUUAACUUU
ensembl:lncRNA